CCAGCUGAGUUAGACGCCUCCAGGCCUCUCCCAUCAUCCACAGCGGAAGCGAGGCUGCACCCCGGUGGGUGCCCUCCAGAUUGGACUUCAGUACAGGUCUCCCCCAGCUGAGCUAGACGGCCUCUGAGCCUCUCCCAUCAUCCCCAGCCCUAGCAAGGCUGCACCCUGGUGGGGGCCUUCCGGAUGGGAGAUUGGGUCAUCUCCAGCUGAGCUAGAUGGAUCCCAUCACCCACAGCCCUAGCAAAGCUGCACCCCAAGAUGCGACAUUGGACUUUGGCUCACAUCAUUCUCACCUGAGUUAGACGGCCUCUCAGCCUCUCCCAUCAUCCACAGCCCCAGCAAGGCUGAACCCUAGGGGUGUCCUCCAGAUGCAAGAUUGGACUUCACAUUGUCCCCAGGUAGGUCCUCAACCUGCUGUCCUCCAGAUGUUACUGGAAUUUGAAUCCCAGCAUCCACACCCCUCCCAGCUAUCCUCCAGCCUAGGGCUGCCUAAUUGUACUGCAAAUCCCAUCAUCCUCCAGCCUGCCAACCUCUCAGACUUCCCACAUUCUAUAUGCAGCUGAUAUCAACUCCAGCAGUGGCCGGCCAUGUCAGGCUGCAUAACUAACAAAAUAAGAAGAAAUUUGGUGAGCUAAUCAAUUGUAUCGGGUUGCAAUCUAUUUACAAACAGGACUGUCAGUUCCAAGUGUACGCUGGUGUGACUUUGCUUUAAGGAGAAAAACUGGACAAGAUGUCCUCAGAAAAUAAGCUCAACCAACCAGUUUGCCUGGAAUGUCAUGAAUUCAUGCAACUACAUCACCCCGAGGAGGAGGAAAGGACCCCCCCCCCGGUUUUUUUGCCUUGAGGCCCACACGAGAGUUCUGCCAUCUCAGGCAACUGCCUCACUCUGUCUAAUAGUAGGAGGAAGGCCAGUCUGAGGUCCACACAGUCCAUGAAGAUGCUCCAACCAACUUAAGGCCUAGAUAACUUACCUACACAAGGCAAUAGUGCCCAGACCUGAGUUUCCAAUUCUAACCAAGCAGCUGCUGAUAAUAUGCUCCCAACUCUGGGCCUAGAAAUUAUUCACUUUUUAUUCACCACUAUAUUGGACCCUAAAAGUCAAAUCACAUAGCUGUAUAUACAUCAUGCUGAUAUUGUGACAGGGAAACUGUAUUUCCACGUUUUCUACAUGAAAAUCCUAAAUGUGUUUUUGCUUACUAAUGUUUCAGCAUAUCACCCAUUAGUCACUUCCCCAUAAAUGUAACAGUAUGGCAAAUUUAGUACUUAUAUAAUAUAUCACAAAAUCAAGAAUAUCAGUACAAGUACUGUAAAAGGCAGCUAUUUGUCUUCAAGACCUCAUUUUCUUUGAAAUGACCCAUCUUGGAUUUUAGAUUUAAAAUAACAAGUAUGUAAUUCAUAAAUACCACGUGAAUUCCAUAUAAAAAAAUUAAAACCUCAUCUACAGUAUUUUAGUACCUGACUUGUAUAUUUAUGUGACUAUUGUUAGAAGUGACUAAUUGGGUUUGAUUAGCUUCAUCAUUAAUAUUCUGUCCAUAAUUUAACAUGCUUCAAUAAAAUACCCUAAAGCAGUAUAAUGAUUAGAUUUCAGGAAUAUGUGUUUUGCAAUUAAGUUGCCCUUGAUUUUGAUAUGCAGAUUAAGAAAUGGUGGUCUCAUCUAAAAAAAAAUACUGCCCUUAUUAACUCAGCAGCAUACUCUGAAGAUUAGGUAAGAAAUCCAAGAUUUUCUCUUUGUAUAUGCUAGUUAAAAUGUAUUUCAAUCAAGCAUAUGUGAGCAAAUCAGAUUUGAUUAGUUAAGUUCACAGUCAUUCUAUCUAAAUGAAUAAUGUGUCACCUAACAUUGCAAAAAUUUGAUUAAUAGUUUAUCAGUUAAUUAAAAAUGUGGCUUAAUUUUUCUUUUUUUUCCUGUUGUGUGUGUGUAUGUGUGCAUUUUAGUAUAAUGCAAGGUAGAUAGUACAGUACUUGCAUUCAUCACAAAUGCAAAAUAACUUUAUCUUGAAUCUAUUGUUCUUUCUCGUUCCACAGCCAACUGGCAAAGAAAUAAAGAUCGGUGAACAAUCUGUGUAACAGCAAAGUAGAAAAACUUCGUUUGCUUACACAUAUGGCUGCCAGUUGUUUAAGUUCAAGCAGAAGAGACAACAGUUUUUAAUCUAUGUUUGGCGCCCACAAAAAUAGCUAUUCUUUUUUUACCUUUUCUAUCCUGCCUUCAGUGACCUUUAAACAUAAUCCUGACCAUGUGAGCAUCAUUAUUCUACAACUAAACCCCAUGUGGCUGCGAACUGUAUUUAAAUGACCCAGAUGCCAUUGGAUUAUGGGAAUGCUUCCAAAGAAAUCACCUGGAAACAGAUAAGCAUGUUUGUUUCACUAUUUGGGUAUAGUCUUUUGCUUAAUCUUCAAUACAAUGGCUUUAUGAGGAAGCUCACUUUAAAU